rnacentral:snoRNA from 1 species
AAGCAGCACUCUGGCAAAUGAUCAAAAUUGUCUGACACAGUAUGAGCUUGAUGUAGCAAGAAGGUAUAACCUAUUUCACUGUUCUCCAUAAGAUCACAUGUUCAGCUUAAAAAAA